CCCGCUGAACUUAAGCAUAUCAAUAAGCGGAGGAAAAGAAACUAACAAGGAUUCCCCUAGUAACUGCGAGUGAAGCGGGAAGAGCUCAAAUUUAAAAUCUGGCAUGCCUCUGGCUGUCCGAGUUGUAGUCUGGAGAAGUGUUUUCCGUGUUGGACCGUGUAUAAGUCUCUUGGAACAGGGCGUCAUAGAGGGUGAGAAUCCCGUCUUUGACACGGACUACCAAUGCUUUGUGAUGCGCUCUCAAAGAGUCGAGUUGUUUGGGAAUGCAGCUCAAAAUGGGUGGUAAAUUCCAUCUAAAGCUAAAUAUAGGCGAGAGACCGAUAGCGAACAAGUACCGUGAGGGAAAGAUGAAAAGCACUUUGGAAAGAGAGUUAAACAGUACGUGAAAUUGCUGAAAGGGAAACGCUUGAAGUCAGUCAUGUCUGCCAGGACUCAGCCUUGCUUCUGCUUGGUGUACUUUCUGGUCGGAUGGGCCAACAUCAAUUUUGACCGUUGGAAAAAGGCUUUGGGAAUGUGGCACCUUCGGGUGUGUUAUAGCCCUUUGUUGUAUACCACGGCUGGGAUUGAGGACAGCAGCACGCCUUUAUGGCCGGGGUUCGCCUACAUACGUGCUUAUGAUGUUGGCAUAAUGGCUUUAAGCGACCCGUCUUGAAAUACGG
rnacentral:rRNA from 1 species